rnacentral:rRNA from 1 species
GUCGAGCGAACGGACGAGAAGCUUGCUUCUCUGAUGUUAGCGGCGGACGGGUGAGUAACACGUGGAUAACCUACCUAUAAGACUGGGAUAACUUCGGGAAACCGGAGCUAAUACCGGAUAAUAUUUUGAACCGCAUGGUUCAAAAGUGAAAGACGGUCUUGCUGUCACUUAUAGAUGGAUCCGCGCUGCAUUAGCUAGUUGGUAAGGUAACGGCUUACCAAGGCAACGAUGCAUAGCCGACCUGAGAGGGUGAUCGGCCACACUGGAACUGAGACACGGUCCAGACUCCUACGGGAGGCAGCAGUGGGGAAUCUUCCGCAAUGGGCGAAAGCCUGACGGAGCAACUCCGCGUGAGUGAUGAAGGUCUUCGGAUCGUAAAACUCUGUUAUUAGGGAAGAACAUAUGUGUAAGUAACUGUGCACAUCUCGACGGUACCUAAUCAGAAAGCCACGGCUAACUACGUGCCAGCAGCCGCGGUAAUACGUAGGUGGCAAGCGUUAUCCGGAAUUAUUGGGCGUAAAGCGCGCGUAGGCGGUUUUUUAAGUCUGAUGUGAAAGCCCACGGCUCAACCGUGGAGGGUCAUUGGAAACUGGAAUACUUGAGUGCAGAAGAGGAAGGUGGAAUUCCAUGUGUAGCGGUGAUAUGCGCAGAGAUAUGGAGGAACACCAGUGGCGAAGGCGACUUUCUGGUCUGUA